AAAGCAAAAAAUCGUGAAAUAGCCUUAAACUUAUUAUUUCUUUACUUAUUAAUAGCAUUCAUAAUUUUUAAUGGCUAAAAAAAAAGUUUCUAAGUUUAAAGGGGAGAUUUAAUAUAUAGACGAAAACAGUACCCAUAGCAGGACGGUUAUAUGAACUGGCAGCCAUUGUUGAUGUUGGCAUUGCUUGCUGGGGCCAGGAGAAUUCCACGAUUACAGCUCAAAUAGAAGGAGUGAGUGAGGCAGGAUGAAUCUGAUGGGUGCUUAGGCUGAGAGUCACGCCGCAGGGUCAGUGAGGGGUACGGCCGGCAGUAUGGUGACCCCCCCUACGGCGGCGGCAGGUCAUCACAGGAGUACUCAUGUGACAGAAGCAGCAGUGGGGGGCGGUCACAGGGGAGAGGGCUGAUGUCGAAGCCGUGGGAGGGGGAGAUGGUGCCUGGGAGUGGCAGGGUGGCUGGCCGGGCGCCGCAGGGGACGGCCACUGCUCCGGGCAUCAUGGCAUAUGGAUAACCUGGAGUCUGAACUGCCACUUAAUAUUCUCAACGCUGUGCUGACUAAUAAAGAAAAGGCACAGUGGGCAAGACUGGGAAGGCAGACAGAAGAGGAGGAUGGACUGGGACGGCCAGUACUAUGGGUCUGGCUGUGGCAUCCUACCCACUCCCCAGAUGCCCCCACGCUAACUGCCCUGGCACAACCCUAACAUUGGCCCUGCACACUCCUGGGGUGUGGUUGGGGGCUUUGUACUGGGGCGGCCAGGGCGGGGGCAGGGUGGAGCGACAGGGCCGGGGUACAAGAUGAAGAAAACGUUGCUGGCUAAGAAGAAAAUAGGAGCUAAGGAGGUUAAGACAAGUGGUGGUGGUGGUAGUGGUGCUGAUGGUGGUAUGAAACCAAGAAUAAGACUGCAUCAUCAGUCUGAUGAUAUUUGGAAUAUCAAUUAUUUAACUUCUGCAACACCUGAGGACAAGACAGGAGCCAGGUAGGAGGGUCAUAGGAUGCCAGUUGGAUGUGGUGAAGGAUGUUUUUUGUCUGGGAAGGAUAAUGAGGAAGUGAAAUUGAGUUGCUGAUUUGUAGAUAAAAUGAUAAAAGAUGAAUAAGUGAAAUGAAAAAAAAAAAUGUGUUUUGGAAUAUAUAGAACAGUGGGGCUUAGUGUGUGUGUGUGUGUGUGUGUGUGUGUGUGUGUGUGUGUGUGUGUGUGUGUGCUGGGGGAUGUAUCUUUGUUAAUUAGAAAGAAUAUAAGAGAUGAAUAUAAUGGUGGGAUAUAUAGCAAUUUUUUUUAGUUCAGAAGAAAUAAGUUUGGUUUGAGUUUAUAUAUGAAUGGGAAAAAGGCUAAAAGAGAGAGAGAGAGAGAUUUAUAAUGAACUGAAAUGUAAAGCAGUACAAAGCUGUAAAAGAAAGGGAUUGAUGUUUAGUUUAGAUUAAUUUGCGUAAAGUAGAGUAAAAAAAAAUGAUGUGUUUUGAGUUGAUGUAUCAGUGUAACCUAGAAAAUGGAGGAGAAAUUAUUGUUUCUUUAAAUUUUAUGUCAUUGUAAACUAGAAAAUAUAAAUAGUUUUUUUUCAUUCUAUAGAUCGUUAUAAAAUUGAAAAAUAAUAUAGCAG